UACGGGGGGGGCAAGCGUUGUUCGGAAUUACUGGGCGUAAAGGGUGCGUAGGCGGUUCGCUAAGUUGGAUGUGAAAACUAUGGGCUCAACCCAUAGCCUGCAUCCAAUACUGACGAACUAGAGUUCUGGAGGGGGUAGCGGAAUUCCUGGUGUAGCGGUGAAAUGCGUAGAUAUCCGGAAGAACACCGGUGGCGAAGGCGGUCUGCUGGGCAGUAGCUGGACACUGAGGCGCGACAGCGUGGGGAGCAAACGGG
rnacentral:rRNA from 1 species